CAAUAGCGUAUAUUAAAGUUGUUGCAGUUAAAAAGCUCGUAGUUGGAUUUCGGGGCAGCCUGGCUGGUCCGCCGCAAGGCGAGUACUGGUCAGCCGCCCUUCCUCUCGAAAGCCCCGACUGCUCUUUAUUGCAGUGGUCGGGUAGUUCGGGACGUUUACUUUGAAAAAAUUAGAGUGUUCAAGGCAGGCCUACGCCUGAAUACAUUAGCAUGGAAUAAUGGAAGAGGACCUCGGUCCUAUUUUGUUGGUUUCCAAGACCGAAGUAAUGAUUAAGAGGGACAGUUGGGGGCAUUCGUAUUUAAUCGUCAGAGGUGAAAUUCUCGGAUUUAUGAAAGACGAACAACUGCGAAAGCAUUUGCCAAGGAUGUUUUCAUUAA
rnacentral:rRNA from 1 species